CAAGAUGAAGAACAGUGGUAUUUCUCUGAAAGUCCCAGUAUGUCUCCCUUUUGUUGGGAGGUGACAGUAUGAUUUUGGGGGCAUCGGGCAUCAACAGUCACUGAAUCUAAAUGGCUCCACAGAUAGGGGAGUGUAUACAUCACCACACCAGCUGUCCAGGAAUUAGGAGGAAGUGCCCUUGAAUGACGCCUGGGCUGCAAGCCUGGUUAGCAGCCAGGGAGGACACACACACGUUGCAGGCAUCUCCUUGGAAACAAUGCCAUCUUUGAAUGUGAGAGAUAAACCUAGUUUCAGCAUGUCUGCAGCAGAGACCAGUACAUCAGGCUUAUUCCCACAGGAAGCCUCCUAAAGCCUGUGGCGCGGCAACCAUUUCCAGGACUAAAUAAUA
rnacentral:sRNA from 1 species